rnacentral:rRNA from 1 species
UGCCAGCCGCCGCGGUAAUACGUAGGGAGCAAACGUUGUCCGGAUUUAUUGGGCGUAAAGGGCUCGUAGGCGGUUCAACAAGUCGGUCGUGAAAGCCCGGGGCUCAACCCCGGGAUGCCGGUCGAAACUGUUGUGACUUGAGUUCGGUAGAGGUGAGUGGAAUUCUCGGUGUAGCGGUGGAAUGCGCAGAUAUCGAGAGGAACACCAUUAGCGAAGGCGGCUCACUGGGCCGAUACUGACGCCGAGGAGCGAAGGCGUGGGGAGCAAACAGGAUUAGAUA